CAGACUGGGACGGUUAUGAGGUAAUGAGACAGACUGGGACGGUUAUGAGGUAAUGAGACAGACUGGGCCGGUAAUGAGGUAAUGUGACAGACUGGAAAGGAUAAUGUGACAGACAGGUCAGGUAAAGUGACAGACAAGGUAAUGUGACAGGAUAAUUUAAAAGAGAGGGUAGGAUAAUGUGACAGACUGAAUGAAAUGUAAUACAUUAUAGUGUGAAAAAAACAAAAACAGGAUAAUGUGACAGACAUGGCUGGAUAAUGAGACAGACGCGGCAGGUAAUGAGACAGAUGUGAAAGGAUAAUGUGACAGACUGGGCGGGUAAUGUGACAGACUGGGCCGGUAAUGUGACAGACUGGGCCGGUAAUUAGACAGACUGGGCCGGUUAUGUGAUAAUGAGAUGGAGAUGUUUAUGUGACAGACUGGGCCGGUAAUGUGACAGACUGGGCGGGUAAUGUGACAGACUGGGCCGGUAAUGUGACGGACUGGGCCG